UUCGUGUGAACAGUGGUUGAUCACGAGUUAGUCGGUCCUAAGUUCAAGGCGAAAGCCGAAAAUUUUCAAGUUAAAAACAAAAAUCAAUAUAUUUGUGCAUCUUGUAGAUUUUUACUUUUACACUUGAAUAAUUUUGAACGAAAGGGAAUACGGUUCCAAUUCCGUAACCUGUUGAGUAUCCGUUUGUUAUUAAAUAUGGGCCUCGUGCUCAUCCUGGCAACAGGAACGACCAUAAAGAAGCCGUCGAGAGAUAUCGGAAGAGUUUUCUUUUCUGUUUUAUAGCCGUACUACCAUGGAAGUCUUUCGCAGAGAGAUAUGGUAGAUGGGCUAGAAGAGCAUGACAUAUACUGUUGUGUCGAUAUUUUCUCCUCGGACCUUGAAAAUUUAUGGUGGGGAUACGCAAACUUCUCAACAGGCCGUACCAAUAUCCGCAGCUGGUCUCCAAGGUGAAGAGUCUCUAGUCGAUAGAAUA
rnacentral:rRNA from 1 species